GAUGAACGCUGGCGGCGUGCCUAAUACAUGCAAGUAGAACGCUGAAGGAGGAGCUUGCUCUUCUGGAUGAGUUGCGAACGGGUGAGUAACGCGUAGGUAACCUGCCUGGUAGCGGGGGAUAACUAUUGGAAACGAUAGCUAAUACCGCAUGACAACAGUUAUUGCAUGAUAACUGUUUAAAAGGGGCAAUUGCUCCACUACCAGAUGGACCUGCGUUGUAUUAGCUAGUUGGUGAGGUAACGGCUCACCAAGGCGACGAUACAUAGCCGACCUGAGAGGGUGAUCGGCCACACUGGGACUGAGACACGGCCCAGACUCCUACGGGAGGCAGCAGUAGGGAAUCUUCGGCAAUGGACGGAAGUCUGACCGAGCAACGCCGCGUGAGUGAAGAAGGUUUUCGGAUCGUAAAGCUCUGUUGUAAGAGAAGAACGAGUGUGAGAGUGGAAAGUUCACACUGUGACGGUAUCUUACCAGAAAGGGACGGCUAACUACGUGCCAGCAGCCGCGGUAAUACGUAGGUCCCGAGCGUUAUCCGGAUUUAUUGGGCGUAAAGCGAGCGCAGGCGUUUAGAUAAGUCUGAAGUUAAAGGCUGUGGCUUAACCAUAGUACGCUUUGGAAACUGUUUAACUUGAGUGCAAGAGGGGAGAGUGGAAGUCCAUGUGUAGCGGUGAAAUGCGUAUAUAUAUGGAGGAACACCGGUGGCGAAAGCGGCUCUCUGGGCUUGUAACUGACGCUUAGGCUCGAAAGCGUGGGAGCAAAUAGG
rnacentral:rRNA from 1 species